rnacentral:rRNA from 1 species
UUCUGGCUCAGGAUGAACGCUAGCGGCAGGCUUAACACAUGCAAGUCGAGGGGCAUCGGGAGUAGCAAUACUUGCCGGCGACCGGCGCAAGGGUGCGUAACGCGUGAGCAACAUGCCCGUAUCAGGGGGAUAAUCCAUGGAAACGUGGUCUAAUACCCCAUAGUAAUUAUGUAAGGCAUCUUAUAUAAUUUAAAGCUUUGGUGGAUACGGAUUGGCUCGCGUGACAUUAGCUGGAUGGUAAGGUAACGGCUUACCAUGGCUACGAUGUCUAGGGGUUCUGAGAGGAAGGUCCCCCACACUGGAACUGAGACACGGUCCAGACUCCUACGGGAGGCAGCAGUGAGGAAUAUUGGACAAUGGAUGGAAAUCUGAUCCAGCCAUGCCGCGCGCCAGGAAGACGGCCCUAUGGGUUGUAAACUGCUUUUGUAUGGGAGCAAUAAGGGCUACGUGUAGUCCGAUGAGAGUACCAUACGAAUAAGCACCGGCUAACUCCGUGCCAGCCGCCGC